CAGGUCCGGGAGCUCCUUGGAGCCUGAGAUGCCUCCUCCCGGGUGCAUGGAUAGCGGAGAGGGACCUAGCGUUGCACCUGCUCCAGGCUCCAGAGCUGGAGCUCACCGUGGCUCCUCCGCCUUUGAACUGAGAUCGCGCUGCUGUACUCCAGCCUGGGUGACAGAGGGAAACCCUGUCUCAAAAAGAGAAAGAAGAAAGGAAGGGAGGGACGGACUUCAGCACCUCCAGUCUCGAGGCUGCCUUCAGUCAGUGGUGGAGACUCGGCGGCAUUUCUCUGUCACCAAGGGCAGCGGCAGGAAGCCAUUCACAUGAACAUCAGCAGACCAAUAUUCACAGAGGAAGAGAGCAGGACAUGUGGGGCACCAUCAGACCACCUGCUGGCCAGCCCACCUGCCACCCCAAAGCGACCAGGGAGCUCUGGUGUGCAGCCCACGAAGCACAGAGGCUCAGGUGGGCCAGAAGCAGAGCUUCCACCCUGGACUGCGAAAGUUUUUGUGAUGAUUGAAGUGGCCCUGGAGGAGGGUGAUGGAGGAGGGGUGAUGGGGGAGGAGCACUGGAGGAGGGUGAUGGAGGAGGAGCCCUGGAGGAGGGUGAUGGGGGAGGAGCACUGGAGGAAGGUGAUGCGGGAGGAGCCCUGGAGGAGGGUGAUGGGGGAGGAGCCCUGGAGGAGGGUGAUGAGGGAGGAGCACUGGAGGAAGGUGAUGGGGGAGGAGCCCUG
rnacentral:lncRNA from 13 species